rnacentral:rRNA from 1 species
CCUACGGGAGGCAGCAGUAGGGAAUAUUGCUCAAUGGGGGAAACCCUGAAGCAGCAACGCCGCGUGGAGGAUGACGGUUUUAGGAUUGGAAACUCUCUUUGUUAGAGAAGCUUAUGACGGUACCCAACGAAUAAGCACCGGCGAACUCCGUGCCAGCAGCCGCGGUAACACGGCGGGUGCAAGCGUUACUCGGAAUCACCGGGCGUAAAGAGUGCGUAGGCGGGGUAAUAAGUCAGAUGUUAAAUCCUGUAGGUUAACUACAGAACUGCAUUUGAAACUGUUACUCUGGAGUGUGGGAGAGGUAGGUGGAAUGCUUGGUGUAGGGGUAAAAUCCGUAGAGAUCAAGAGGAAUACUCAUUGCGAAGGCGACCUGCUGGAACAUUACUGACGCUGAUGCACGAAAGCGUGGGGAGCGAACAGGAUUAGAUACCCUAGUAGUC